rnacentral:rRNA from 1 species
GAUCAUGUCAGGAUGAACGCUAGCUACAGGCUUAACACAUGCAAGUCGAGGGGCAGCAUUUUAGUUUGCUUGCAAACUAAAGAUGGCGACCGGCGCACGGGUGAGUAACACGUAUCCAACCUGCCGAUAACUCGGGGAUAGCCUUUCGAAAGAAAGAUUAAUAUCCGAUAGUAUAUUUUCUCCGCAUGGCGAGAAUAUUAAAGAAUUUCGGUUAUCAAUGGGGAUGCGUUCCAUUAGUUUGUUGGG